rnacentral:rRNA from 1 species
GGGUUGUGAGGUUAAGCGACUAAGCGUACACGGUGGAUGCCCUGGCAGUCAGAGGCGAUGAAGGGCGUGCUAAUCUGCGAUAAGCGCCGGUAAGGUGAUAUGAACCGUUAUAACCGGCGAUACCCGAAUGGGGAAACCCAGUGUGACUCGUCACACUAUCAUUAACUGAAUCCAUAGGUUAAUGAGGCGAACCGGGGGAACUGAAACAUCUAAGUACCCCGAGGAAAAGAAAUCAACCGAGAUUCCCCCAGUAGCGGCGAGCGAACGGGGAGGAGCCCAGAGCCUGAAUCAGCAUGUGUGUUAGUGGAAGCGUCUGGAAAGGCGCGCGAUACAGGGUGACAGCCCCGUACACAAAAGCGCAUGUGCUGUGAGCUCGAUGAGUAGGGCGGGACACGUGGUAUCCUGUCUGAAUAUGGGGGGACCAUCCUCCAAGGCUAAAUACUCCUGACUGACCGAUAGUGAACCAGUACCGUGAGGGAAAGGCGAAAAGAACCCCGGCGAGGGGAGUGAAAAAGAACCUGAAACCGUGUACGUACAAGCAGUGGGAGCNNGUGACUGCGUACCUUUUGUAUAAUGGGUCAGCGACUUAUAUUCUGUAGCAAGGUUAACCGAAUAGGGGAGCCGGAGGGAAACCGAGUCUUAACUGGGCGUUAAGUUGCAGGGUAUAGACCCGAAACCCGGUGAUCUAGCCAUGGGCAGGUUGAAGGUUGGGUAACACUAACUGGAGGACCGAACCGACUAAUGUUGAAAAAUUAGCGGAUGACCUGUGGCUGGGGGUGAAAGGCCAAUCAAACCGGGAGAUAGCUGGUUCUCCCCGAAAGCUAUUUAGGUAGCGCCUCGUGAAUUCAUCUCCGGGGGUAGAGCACUGUUUCGGCUAGGGGGCCAUCCCGGCUUACCAACCCGAUGCAAACUGCGAAUACCGGAGAAUGUUAUCACGGGAGACACACGGCGGGUGCUAACGUCCGUCGUGAAGAGGGAAACAACCCAGACCGCCAGCUAAGGUCCCAAAGUCAUGGUUAAGUGGGAAACGAUGUGGGAAGGCCCAGACAGCCAGGAUGUUGGCUUAGAAGCAGCCAUCAUUUAAAGAAAGCGUAAUAGCUCACUGGUCGAGUCGGCCUGCGCGGAAGAUGUAACGGGGCUAAACCAUGCACCGAAGCUGCGGCAGCGANNGUUGGGUAGGGGAGCGUUCUGUAAGCCUGUGAAGGUGGCCUGUGAGGGUUGCUGGAGGUAUCAGAAGUGCGAAUGCUGACAUAAGUAACGAUAAAGCGGGUGAAAAGCCCGCUCGCCGGAAGACCAAGGGUUCCUGUCCAACGUUAAUCGGGGCAGGGUGAGUCGACCCCUAAGGCGAGGCCGAAAGGCGUAGUCGAUGGGAAACGGGUUAAUAUUCCCGUACUUGGUGUUACUGCGAAGGGGGGACGGAGAAGGCUAUGUUGGCCGGGCGACGGUUGUCCCGGUUUAAGCGUGUAGGUGUGUGUUCCAGGUAAAUCCGGUUCACUUUAACACUGAGGCGUGACGACGAGGCACUACGGUGCUGAAGCAACAAAUGCCCUGCUUCCAGGAAAAGCCUCUAAGCAUCAGGUAACAUCAAAUCGUACCCCAAACCGACACAGGUGGUCAGGUAGAGAAUACCAAGGCGCUUGAGAGAACUCGGGUGAAGGAACUAGGCAAAAUGGUGCCGUAACUUCGGGAGAAGGCACGCUGACACGUAGGUGAAGUGAUUUACUCAUGGAGCUGAAGUCAGUCGAAGAUACCAGCUGGCUGCAACUGUUUAUUAAAAACACAGCACUGUGCAAACACGAAAGUGGACGUAUACGGUGUGACGCCUGCCCGGUGCCGGAAGGUUAAUUGAUGGGGUCAGCGCAAGCGAAGCUCCUGAUCGAAGCCCCGGUAAACGGCGGCCGUAACUAUAACGGUCCUAAGGUAGCGAAAUUCCUUGUCGGGUAAGUUCCGACCUGCACGAAUGGCGUAAUGAUGGCCAGGCUGUCUCCACCCGAGACUCAGUGAAAUUGAACUCGCUGUGAAGAUGCAGUGUACCCGCGGCAAGACGGAAAGACCCCGUGAACCUUUACUAUAGCUUGACACUGAACAUUGAGCCUUGAUGUGUAGGAUAGGUGGGAGGCUUUGAAGUGUGGACGCCAGUCUGCAUGGAGCCGACCUUGAAAUACCACCCUUUAAUGUUUGAUGUUCUAACGUGGACCCGUUACCCGGGUUGCGGACAGUGUCUGGUGGGUAGUUUGACUGGGGCGGUCUCCUCCUAAAGAGUAACGGAGGAGCACGAAGGUUGGCUAAUCCUGGUCGGACAUCAGGAGGUUAGUGCAAUGGCAUAAGCCAGCUUGACUGCGAGCGUGACGGCGCGAGCAGGUGCGAAAGCAGGUCAUAGUGAUCCGGUGGUUCUGAAUGGAAGGGCCAUCGCUCAACGGAUAAAAGGUACUCCGGGGAUAACAGGCUGAUACCGCCCAAGAGUUCAUAUCGACGGCGGUGUUUGGCACCUCGAUGUCGGCUCAUCACAUCCUGGGGCUGAAGUAGGUCCCAAGGGUAUGGCUGUUCGCCAUUUAAAGUGGUACGCGAGCUGGGUUUAGAACGUCGUGAGACAGUUCGGUCCCUAUCUGCCGUGGGCGCUGGAGAACUGAGGGGGGCUGCUCCUAGUACGAGAGGACCGGAGUGGACGCAUCACUGGUGUUCGGGUUGUCAUGCCAAUGGCACUGCCCGGUAGCUAAAUGCGGAAGAGAUAAGUGCUGAAAGCAUCUAAGCACGAAACUUGCCCCGAGAUGAGUUCUCCCUGAGACUUAGAGUCUCCUGAAGGAACGUUGAAGACGACGACGUUGAUAGGCCGGGUGUGUAAGCGCAGCGAUGCGUUGAGCUAACCGGUACUAAUGAACCGUGAGGCUUAACCUUACAACGCCGAAG